CCUGAUCUCUCUGAUCUGAGGCAAUUCAGCAGCAGGGUCUUCUUCCUUUUGCUUCUCAGGAGUGGGGAUGUUAGAAAAACACUUCAUAAAGACAAGGUAAGGGGCCUGCUGCAACUACAGGACUGAUGUGUGUCUGAGGUUAGACUUUUGUGUGAUCCAACACAGACUUGGCAGCAGUUCAUCCUCUCCCAGCAUCACUCCAUGUGCCAUAGCCUAAACAAUGGGAUCCAUGCCAGUAGACUCCUGUACCAUACUUAUUUGUCUGCACGUCUGCUGUGCAGCUCAAGGCUGUAACAGUCUCACUUAAGGUUGAUAAAGGAGAUAAAUACCCCUGACAGGUGUGCAGCAGCCUGCCGGCACACCGACACACAUCAGCCUUGUUUGCUGUAUGAGUGCCUUCCUUAAGGACUGAACUUCCCUGCAGGUCAGGUGAACUGAACACCGCAGUCUUUCCUGCUGCUGGCCUGUGGCUGUACUGGGAGAAGGUCUGCAGGGAAGUACAGAACUGGGACCACAAAAGAGGACCGUGAAUAUAGCAGUGAGUACAUGGACUAAGAAUUAGUCCCUCUGUGUUUGUGUUCACUAAUAACUUGCAGGAAGGAGCCACAGGAAUACUUUUUACCUGAUGUAAUCUUACCUUUAGCCUGAUGUAAAUAAGCAACAUUUACUGUCCUUAUUAAUAAUAGUGUUUCCAUUGUCUCUCCCUAUCAACAGUAUGUAGUGUUUGCAUUCUCCUUCCUGCUAUUAUGGUGGAGCGAUUUAGGGUUUUUCUUUUUUAAAGCUAAUUUCUUUUUUUUUUUUUUUUUUUUUUUUUUUUUUUUUACCUAUUUUCUCUUUGUUAAAGAAGUCAAAACUUUACUGAAACACACCAGCUCUGCUGUCCCACCAAGAGCAGCUAGCCAGCCUGGUUUAUUUUGCCAAUUAGUGAUUUUCUGAUGCUGACAGACAUGGGAGUGAGAAAGAGAGCUCAAAUUAAUUCUCAUUUGUGACAUGGGCUGGCACUUGAACCUAGCUAAAUUAAAAUGUUCUUUCUGUGUUUAGUCUGCUCAAGUAAAUUAACCAAAAGUCCCUGUCUCUCACCACUGGCUUUACAGCUUAGAUCUUUGAGUACACAGAGCAGAGAGACAUAACUAUUUAUGGCAAACAGAUGUAAGGAAACAGCAAGCUCUUGUGCGUAUGGUUCCCUGCAUUAAUUGCCCAUUCUGUUUUACAACAGCUUCGUAGCACUACAGGGCUUAAUAGUUUGCCACAGCUAUAAAAAUUGCUACCAGUGUGUCUGCUAACACUUGCUAUCAUAUCUUCUCGCUUUCCAUGAUUCACAAGCCUCACAAUGCUAUUUGGAUCAGUUCAGCAUAAACAUUUUGUUAAAACACUCAUUUGUCUUUGUUUCCAGAGCUGUCCUUUCCAAAGCUGCUUUCAUUUCUCUUGGUUCCUGCCCUUGCUAUUUCAUCAUGAAUUUAUUUCCAAACUCCUUUCCAAGAAUACGGACUGCAGUGUGCUCCUGUGUACAUGCCCAACAGAUAGGCUGUUCUUCUGAAGAUUCUUCUGAACAGGAGCAUGUUGUUGCUUACUACUUUGGAGAAAUGGUACCAGAAUGUGACAGGCAGAGACAUUUACCUUAGCAGCAAGGAAUUUUUUUUUUAACAUAAGCUGGAUGCAUUUAUUUUUCACUCAUUUCUAGCUUUUGUCAAGCUUUGCAGAGAGCAUAUCUAAUUUCUGCUUCAACUGCACUGGACUUCAUGCUUCAUUCUGAAUACAAUGCUCUGCCGAUGUCACUCUUUGGCAGAUUUGUGUACUGAAUUUGUGUACUAGUGCCUUUUGAGGAAAUUGGCUGUUUAGACACAGUGAAUAAAGAGUUUCAAGUGAAAUUUAAAUGGGAUUCAUUCCAGCUCUGAUUUUUUUCAUCGUCUAACUUGCUCAAGGUCUUCAUUUUUUUUUACUUACGUGUAGUCAGAUAAUUAAUUAUUUACUCCCCACAAAAAAACUUUAAAAAUGAAAGAAAAGUCUCAGUUUCAUGUUGAAUUGAAUGUAUAUAAUUACUGA
rnacentral:lncRNA from 1 species